rnacentral:rRNA from 1 species
UUCUUAUUUUUAAAGUAUUUAUAUCGCCGUCCAAAGAUUAAAUUUAAAAAUUAAAUCAUAAAAACUUUAUUCCUACGUCAGGUCGAGAUAAAGCCUAUAAAUAAGUGAGCCUAGUUACUCAUUUUUUUCAAUAACCAUUAUCUACCAAAAGGUCACUUAAUCACAGGAUUUAAAAGUAAUUUACAAGUAAUUUUUGUAUGUGAAAAAUCUCUAAGGUGUACAUAUCGCCCGUCACCCUCGUCUAAAGAUGAGGUAAGUCGUAACACAGUUAAUGUACUGGAAAGUGCAUUAAGGG